rnacentral:misc_RNA from 1 species
GUAGGUGAACCUGCGGAAGGAUCAUUAAAGAGAACAUGCCCUCCGGGGUAGAUCUCCCACCCUUUGUUUACAUUACCUUUGUUGCUUUGGCAGGCCCGUCCUCCGGGACCGCCGGCGUCAGCUGGUCCGCGCCUGCCAGAGGACCCAAACUCAUAUUUUAUUGUCGUCUGAGUACUAUAUAAUAGUUAAAACUUUCAACAACGGAUCUCUUGGUUCUGGCAUCGAUGAAGAACGCAGCAUCUGACUGACU